rnacentral:rRNA from 1 species
AAGCAUAUCAAUAAGCGGAGGAAAAGAAACCAACAGGGAUUGCCCUAGUAACGGCGAGUGAAGCGGCAACAGCUCAAAUUUGAAAUCUGGCUUCGGCCCGAGUUGUAAUUUGCAGAGGAAGCUUUGGGCGCGGCGCCGUCUGAGUCCCCUGGAACGGGGCGCCRAAGAGGGUGAGAGCCCCGUAGAGACGGAUGCCUAGCCUGUGUAAAGCUCCUUCGACGAGUCGAGUAGUUUGGGAAUGCUGCUCAAAAUGGGAGGUAAAUUUCUUCUAAAGCUAAAUACCGGCCAGAGACCGAUAGCGCACAAGUAGAGUGAUCGAAAGAUGAAAAGCACUUUGAAAAGAGGGUUAAAUAGCACGUGAAAUUGUUGAAAGGGAAGCGCUUGUGACCAGACUUGCGCCGGGCUGAUCAUCCGGUGUUCUCACCGGUGCACUCUGCCCGGCUCAGGCCAGCAUCGGUUCUCGCGGGGGGAUAAAGGUCCUGGGAAUGUGGCUCCUCCGGGAGUGUUAUAGCCCGGGGCGUAAUACCCUCGCGGGGACCGAGGUUCGCGCUCUGCAAGGAUGCUGGCGUAAUGGUCAUCAGCGACCCGUCUUGAAACACGGACCAAGGAGUCAAGGUUUUGCGCGAGUGUUUGGGUGUAAAACCCGCACGCGUAAUGAAAGUGAACGUAGGUGAGAGCUUCGGCGCAUCAUCGACCGAUCCUGAUGUUCUCGGAUGGAUUUGAGUAAGAGCGUUAAGCCUUGGACCCGAAAGAUGGUGAACUAUGCUUGGAUAGGGUGAAGCCAGAGGAAACUCUGGUGGAGGCUCGCAGCGGUUCUGACGUGCAAAUCGAUCGUCAAAUCUGAGCAUGGGGGCGAAAGACUAAUCGAACCAUCUAGUAGCUGGUUACCGCCGAAGUUUCCCUCAGGAUAGCAGUGUUGAUCUUCAGUUUUAUGAGGUAAAGCGAAUGAUUAGGGACCCGGGGGCGAUUUUUAGCCUUCAUCCAUUCUCAAACUUUAAAUAUGUAAGAAGCCCUUGUUACUUAGCUGAACGUGGGCAUUCGAAUGUACCAACACUAGUGGGCCAUUUUUGGUAAGCAGAACUGGCGAUGCGGGAUGAACCGAACGCGGGGUUAAGGUGCCGGAGUGGACGCUCAUCAGACACCACAAAAGGCGUUAGUACAUCUUGACAGCAGGACGGUGGCCAUGGAAGUCGGAAUCCGCUAAGGACUGUGUAACAACUCACCUGCCGAAUGUACUAGCCCUGAAAAUGGAUGGCGCUCAAGCGUCCCACCCAUACCCCGCCCUCAGGGUAGAAACGAUGCCCUGAGGAGUAGGCGGCCGUGGAGGUCAGUGACGAAGCCUAGGGCGUGAGCCCGGGUCGAACGGCCUCUAGUGC